UACUGAACAGAUGUUAGAGCCAGUCCACACGGCGCGUUGCGUCAGCGUUGGGUCGACGCAGUGCUGCCAUUGCGUUGUUUUACAUACAAAUAAUCAAGGU